rnacentral:rRNA from 1 species
UACGUAGGGUGCAAGCGUUAAUCGGAAUUACUGGGCGUAAAGCGUGCGCAGGCGGUUGGGCAAGACAGAUGUGAAAUCCCCGGGCUUAACCUGGGAACUGCAUUUGUUACUGCACGGCUAGAGUACGGCAGAGGGGGAUGGAAUUCCGCGUGUAGCAGUGAAAUGCGUAGAUAUGCGGAGGAACACCAAUGGCGAAGGCAGUCCCCUGGGCCUGUACUGACGCUCAGGUGCGAAAGCGUGGGGAGCAAACAGG